rnacentral:rRNA from 1 species
AUGCCACACCGCAAGGCAGUGUCAUUGAUCACCAUGCUCAUCUCUUGGACCAUUUGAAACGAUAGGAAUUGGAGGGUCUUCCGACACAAGUCCAUCCCACCCUUCAUCAUUUUUUACAUGACCAAAAUCGAAGCGAAGCUUUGGACCAUUGUGGGUGCUAAACAUUUGUGCAGAAUCAUGCCGGGAGAAUAA